CUACGGGUGGCUGCAGUGGGGAAUAUUGGACAAUGGGGGAAACCCUGAUCCAGCAAUGCCGCGUGUGUGAAGAAGGCCUGCGGGUUGUAAAGCACUUUCGGUUGGGAGGACUGCUUCUAGCACUAAUAUUGUUGGAAGUUGACGUUACCUUCAGAAGAAGCACCGGCUAACUCCGUGCCAGCAGCCGCAGGUAAUACGGAGGGUGCAAGCGUUAAUCGGAAUUACUGGGCGUAAAGCGCGCGUAGGCGGCUAGAUCAGUCGGGUGUGAAAGCCCCGGGCUUAACCUGGGAACUGCAUCCGAUACUGUCUAGCUUGAGUACAGGAGAGGAGAGUGGAAUUCCACAUGUAGCGGUGACAUGCGUAGAUAUGUGGAGGAACACCAAUGGCGAAGGCAGCUCUCUGGCCUGAUACUGACGCUGAGGUGCGAAAGCGUGGGGAGCAAACAGGAUUAGAUACCCCGGUAGUC
rnacentral:rRNA from 1 species